rnacentral:rRNA from 1 species
UACGUAGGGUGCAAGCGUUGUCCGGAAUUAUUGGGCGUAAAGAGCUUGUAGGCGGUUUGUCGCGUCUGCUGUGAAAUUUCGGGGCUCAACCCCGAACUUGCAGUGGGUACGGGCAGACUAGAGUGUGGUAGGGGAGACUGGAAUUCCUGGUGUAGCGGUGAAAUGCGCAGAUAUCAGGAGGAACACCGAUGGCGAAGGCAGGUCUCUGGGCCACUACUGACGUGAGAAGCGAAAGCAUGGGGGAGCGAACAGG